UCAUAGCUCAGUUGGUUAGAGCAC
rnacentral:siRNA from 1 species